UUGAAUAACUAUGGUGGGUUGUCGCUGGCUUCUUGAAGCAUGUGCACACCUGCUGUCUUUAUCUAUCCCAUUGUGCACCACUUGUAGUCCUGGAAGGGGGAGAGCAAUCGAAGCUCCCAAGUUGUGAGUUUCGUUGUCCCCCUUCUGGCUCUAUGUCUUUUCCAACAAACUUUGUAGUAUGUCACAGAAUGUAAUCAAAGGGGCCAUUGUGCCUAUAGAAAUUUAUA
rnacentral:misc_RNA from 1 species